UACGUAGGGGGCAAGCGUUACUCGGAAUUACUGGGCGUAAAGCGUGCGCAGGCGGCUUUGCAAGACAGAUGUGAAAUCCCCGGGCUUAACCUGGGAACUGCAUUUGUGACUGCAUGGCUGGAGUGCGGCAGAGGGGGAUGGAAUUCCGCGUGUAGCAGUGAAAUGCGUAGAUAUGCGGAGGAACACCGAUGGCGAAGGCAAUCCCCUGGGCCUGCACUGACGCUCAUGUACGAAAGCGUGGGGAGCAAACAGG
rnacentral:rRNA from 1 species